rnacentral:rRNA from 1 species
CCUUUCCUACGGGACGCAGCAGUGAGGAAUAUUGGUCAAUGGGCGCAAGCCUGAACCAGCCAAGUCGCGUGAGGGAAGACGGCCCUACGGGUUGUAAACCUCUUUUGCCGGGGAGCAAGCCUGAGCACGUGUGCCCAGGCGGAGAGUACCCGGAGAAAAAGCAUCGGCUAACUCCGUGCCAGCAGCCGCGGUAAUACGGAGGAUGCGAGCGUUAUCCGGAUUUAUUGGGUUUAAAGGGUGCGCAGGCGGGCUGCUAAGCCGGCGGUACAAAUCCAGGGCUCAACCCCGUCGAGCCG